CCCUUAGAUGUUCUGGGCUGCACGCGCGCUACACUGAUGCGUUCAGCGAGUUUAUAACCUUGCCCGAUAGGGUUGGGUAAUCUUCUGAAAACGCAUCGUGAUGGGGAUAGAUUAUUGUAAUUAUUAAUCUUCAACGAGGAAUUCCUAGUAAGCGUGAAUCAUCAGUUCACGCUGAUUACGUCCCUGCCCUUUGUACACAUCGCCCGUCGCUCCUACCGAUUGAGUGAUCCGGUGAAUAAUUCGGACUGCAGCAGUGUUCAGUUCCUGAACGUUGCAGCGGAAAGUUUAGUGAACCUUAUCACUUAGAGGAAGGAGAAGUCGUAACA
rnacentral:rRNA from 1 species